UCUCAAACUUUAAAUAGGUAG
rnacentral:snRNA from 1 species